rnacentral:rRNA from 1 species
GGAAGGGUUGUAUUUAUUAGAUAAAGAACCAAUAUUUUUGGUGACUCAUAAUAACUUUACGGAUCACAUUAUGUGACAUAUCAUUCAAGUUUCUGACCUAUCAGCUUUAGACGGUAGGGUAUUGGCCUACCGUGGCUAUGACGGGUAACGGGGAAUUAGGGUUCGAUUCCGGAGAGGGAGCCUGAGAAACGGCUACCACAUCUAAGGAAGGCAGCAGGCGCGCAAAUUACCCAAUCCUAAUACAGGGAGGUAGUGACAAGAAAUAACAAUACAGAACCUUACGGUUUUGUAAUUGGAAUGAGUUAAGUAUAAACCCCUUAACAAGUAUCAAUUGGAGGGCAAGUCUGGUGCCAGCAGCCGCGGUAAUUCCAGCUCCAAUAGCGUAUAUUAAAGUUGUUGCAGUUAAAAAGCUCGUAGUUAAUCUUCUGUUAAUUUUUAUAUAUAAUAUUUCGAUAUUUAUAUAAUAUUAACAUAAUUCAUAUUACUUUUUAGUAUAUGAAACUUUACUUUGAGAAAAUUAGAGUGCUUAAAGCAGGCUAUUGCCUUGAAUACUCCAGCAUGGAAUAAUAUUAAGGAUUUUUAUUCUUCUUAUUGGUUCUAGAAUAAAAAUGAUGAUUAAUAGGAACAGUUGGGGGCAUUUGUAUUUAACAGUCAGAGGUGAAAUUCUUAGAUUUGUUAAAGACAAACUACUGCGAAAGCAUUUGCCAAGGAUGUUUUCAUUAAUCAAGAACGAAAGUUAGGGGAUCGAAGACGAUCAGAUACCGUCGUAGUCUUAACCAUAAACUAUGCCAACUAGAGAUUGGAGGUUGUUCCUUACUCCUUCAGCACCUUAUGAG